rnacentral:rRNA from 1 species
UGAGGAAUAUUGGUCAAUGGGGGCAACCCUGAACCAGCCAAGUCGCGUGAAGGAUGAAGGUCUUAUGGAUUGUAAACUUCUUUUACACGGGAAUAAAGCGGGGGACGUGUCCCUCUUUGCAUGUACCGUGUGAAUAAGGAUCGGCUAACUCCGUGCCAGCAGCCGCGGUAAUACGGAGGAUCCGAGCGUUAUCCGGAUUUAUUGGGUUUAAAGGGUGCGCAGGCGGGAUGUUAAGUCGGCGGUGAAAUUUUGCAGCUCAACUGUAAAAGUGCCUUCGNUACUGGCCUCCUUGAGUGUGGAUGAAGUAGGCGGAAUUUGUGGUGUAGCGGUGAAAUGCUUAGAUAUCACGAGGAACUCCGAUUGCGCAGGCAGCUUACUAAGCCACAACUGACGCUCAUGCACGAAGGCGUGGGGAUCAAACA